UACGGGGGGGGCAAGCGUUGUUCGGAAUCACUGGGCGUAAAGGGCUCGUAGGCGGCCAAUUAAGUCGGAUGUGAAAUCCCCAGGCUUAACCUGGGAACUGCAUCCGAUACUGGAUGGCUUGAAUCCGGGAGAGGGAUGCAGAAUUCCAGGUGUAGCGGUGAAAUGCGUAGAUAUCUGGAGGAAUACCGGUGGCGAAGGCGGCAUCCUGGACCGGCAUUGACGCUGAUGAGCGAAAGCUAGGGGAGCAAACGGG
rnacentral:rRNA from 1 species